GAUGCAGAGAUCCACAGCUAAGACUGGGCUGAACUCCUGUUGUCCAGUUGUAGAGAGGGAGGAGCGAUUAGUAAAAGGGGCCAUGUUGGGGAAACCCACAGAAACAGCUGACCUGAGCAAGUGGGGCCUCACUGACUCCAGAUUAACAGCUUGGGAACCUGCAUAAGACUUAACGAGGCCCCCUGAAUGUAGGUGACAAUUGAGGUGCUUGGACAGUUUAUGUGGCUGCUGGCAGUAGAACCAUUAAUUAUUCCUAGUGCAUGAACUGGCUUUUUGGAACCCAUUGCCUAUGGAGGGAUACCUUGCUCAGCCUAGAUACAGGGGAGAGGGUCUUAGCCUUGUCCUCAAAGAUGUGACAGACUUUGAUGAAUUCCCAUGGGAGGACUCACCCUCUCUGAGGAGUGGAUGGGAGGGGGGAUAUGACAGGGGGGAGAGGGAACUGUGAUUGGUAUGUAAAAUAGGAGAGGGAACUAUGAUUGGUAUGUAAAACAAGAUUGUUUAAAAAAUAAAAAAAAGAAUAAAAAAUAUUGUAUUUGCUCUCAUAAAUUCAAUAAAUUUUUGAAUUGUGGCUUUACAGCAACUGUUUAGAUCAAGUUUGGGAACUAAAUUAGAUCUUUUCAUAAAAAUAAAACAAAUUUUGUUUUCUGCUCAUUGGAAAAACAAAUCUUAGCUAUGGCCUAGAGUUGUCUCCAGCUGCCGUCUGACUGCACUGUGCUCUCAGCCUGCUGCAGGAGGUUACUGGGCGCUUUCAUCAUACAUGGGAUUCCGCUCGGUCUUCCUUUGUAUUAAAUUCUGCUUUACUCUUCUCAGGAAAGGAGAGGAACAGUGUACCUGUUGAUAUUGUGAGUGUUGUUUAAGGCACAGAUGCUAGCUAGAGCCGGAGUGUGCUUUUUCUGGUACGCUGGUCUCCCUUUCUCUGGAAUCACUUCUUCCUACCGUGUGUGGCUGCUUGUCUGCCAUGUGUCUGACCUCCAUGCCCACUCAGCUGAAAUGCCGUGGCCCCUUCUCUCUCUGUCCUUCUCUGUCAGCUGGUGAGAUUUACAACUUACCGCCAUGGAGUUUUUCUUUAAAAUCUAAUAAGAGCGUCUUCAAGCUUCAGACAAAACAAAAACAAACAACAACAAAAAUCUUUCAGUUUAAAAGGAUAUAGAAGAUACCUCAAAACAAAACAGCAGCAAAAAACCCCAUACAAGGUUUCCAAAAUUGAGACUAUGGAACUCAGAUGGAAUGCAAUUAUUUAUUGUAAUAUCCAGAAUAAUUUCAGUCGGUUCAACUACUCGUUAACCCU